UCUCUGCUAAAGGUUUACUGAAGUAUAGAGGGCGAAGUCUGCCCAAUGGUUGUAUAGUGAAACUGAGGACUAACGUCUAAAGCGAAACCCAACUGAAUGGCCGCGGUAACUCUGACCGGGAUAAUGUAGCACAAUAAAUAGCCAAUUAAUUGUUGGCGGGUAUGAAUGGAACCACGAGGGUCUUACUGUCUCAAGAGAAAAGCCGAUGAAAUUAUAAUUGUAGUGAAGAUACUACAUAAAUAUUGUAAGACGAAAAGACCCUAUCGAGCUUUACUGGAUACCGAUAGCGUUAAUUUAGAAUGAUCGAUACUAAGUAUCCUAAUUCUAAGUUAAUAAUUUUUGUUGGUAGGACAGUUUAGUUGGGGCGACUACCUUUGAAUAAGAAACGAAGGCGAGCUUAUGGUAUUAUUAAAAUCUCAUUAGCCUCACAGUGAGGGGGACACCCCUAGCUGGCACAAGGACUUACCCAGAUAGUAUCUUCGCCCCUUUGGGGGUAGUUAGGGAUACGUAAUGGGUUCCUAUGUGGGCGAUAGUGACCCGAUAUGAUUAUCCAAAAUAAAUAUCGAAAGCGGAUAAAAGCUACCGUAGGGAUAACAGCGUAAUAUUGUCGGAGAGUUCUUAUCGAGGACAGUGUUUGCGACCUCGAUGUUGAAUUGCGGUGCCCUGGUGCUGUAGAAGGUACCUCAGGUUGGUCUGUUCGACCAUGAAAACCGUA
rnacentral:rRNA from 1 species